rnacentral:rRNA from 1 species
GACGAACGCUGGCGGCGUGCUUAACACAUGCAAGUCGAACGGAAAGGCCCUGCUUUUGUGGGGUGCUCGAGUGGCGAACGGGUGUGUAACACGUGAGUAACCUGCCCUUGACUUUGGGAUAACUUCAGGAAACUGGGGCUCAUAUAGGAUAGGAUCUCCUGCUGCAUGGUGGGGGUUGGAAAGUUUCGGCGGUUGGGGCUGGACUCGCGGCUUAUCAGCUUGUUGGGGGGGUAGUGGCUUACCAAGGCUUUGACGGGUAGCCGGCCUGGGAGGGUGACCGGCCACCUUGGGACUGCGAUACGGCCCAGACUGCUACGUUAGGCAGCAGUGGGGAAUAUUGCACAAUGGGCGGAAGCCUGAUGCAGCAACGCCGCGUGCGGGAUGACGGCCUUCUGGUUGUAAACCGCUUUCUCCUGUGACGAAGCGUGAGUGACGGUAAUUGGUAAAGAAGCACCGGCUAACUACGUG